rnacentral:rRNA from 1 species
GAUGAACGCUGGCGGCGUGCCUAAUACAUGCAAGUCGAGCGAACAGACGAGGAGCUUGCUCCUCUGUCGUUAGCGGCGGACGGGUGAGUAACACGUGGAUCACCUAUCUAUAAGACUGGGCUUACUUCGGGACACCGGAGCUAAUACCGGAUAAUAUAUUGAACCGCAUGGUUCAAUAGUGAAAGACGGUUUUGCUGUCACUUAUAGAUGGAUCCGCGCCGCAUUAGCUAGUUGGUAAGGUAACGGCUUACCAAGGCAACGAUGCGUAGCCGACCUGAGAGGGUGAUCGGCCACACUGGAACUGAGACACGGUCCAGACUCCUACGGGAGGCAGCAGUAGGGAAUCUGCCGCAAUGGGCGAAAGCCUGACGGAGCAACGCCGCGGGAGUGAUGAAGGUCUUCGGAUCGUAAAACUCUGUUAUUAGGGAAGAACAAAUGUGUAAGUAACUAUGCACGUCUUGACGGUACCUAAUCAGAAAGCCACGGCUAACUACGUG